rnacentral:Y_RNA from 1 species
GGCUGGUCCGAAGGUAGUGAGUUAUCUCACGUGAUUGUUCACAGUCAGUUACAGAUUGAACUCCAUGUUCUACUACUUUCCCCCCUCCUCACUACUGCACUUGACUAGUCUAAA